UAGGGAAUCUUCUGCAAUGGACGAAAGUCUGACCGAGCAACGCCGCGCGAGUGAAGAAGGUUUUCGGAUCGUAAAACUCUGUUGUUAGAGAAGAACAAGGACGUUAGUAACUGAACGUCCCCUGACGGUAUCUAACCAGAAAGCCACGGCUAACUACGUGCCAGCAGCCGCGGUAAUACGUAGGUGGCAAGCGUUGUACGGAUUUAUUGGGCGUAAAGCGAGCGCAGGCGGUUUCUUAAGUCGGAUGUGAAAGCCCCCGGCUCAACCGGGGAGGGUCAUUGGAAACUGGGAGACUUGAGUGCAGAAGAGGAGAGUGGAAUUCCAUGUGUAGCGGUGAAAUGCGUAGGUAUAUGGAGGAACACGAGUGGCGAAGGCGGCUCUCUGGUCUGUAACUGACGGUGAGGAUCGAAAGCGUGGGGAGCAAACAGG
rnacentral:rRNA from 1 species